rnacentral:sRNA from 1 species
AGCGGGGGACCUCUUCCCUUCCUCAAAGCUAGUGAGAAUCCUACCUUCUGUGGUUUUAGCCUCGAUCAGUGUCUCGCAAGGAUCAGGCGGGCCAGGCCAGAACUCUAUAUUAGUCUAUUCUGCGAACCAUAGAUUAUGCUGCUGCUGACAGUCGUCCGUUGUAGGAGGUUGGGGUUCGGGGUCAGAUGUCAUGUAAUCCUUCCUUUGGUGGCAUCGGAAAGGGACAUUUAAUGAGGGAAGUAGAUGCCUUGGAUGGCCUGUGUUCUCGCAUCUGUGACCAGUCUGGUGUACAUUAUAAAGUAUUAAACCGGCGUAAGGGACCAGCUGUGUGGGGUCUGAGAGCUCAGAUUGAUAGGAAACUCUAUAAACAGAACAUGCAGGUAAGAAUAGGGCAUGAGCACAGGAAAGAUUAUGGUGAUUGUUUAAUUACCAUGUUUCAACUGGCAUUUUCUUUUGACAGAAAGAAAUCUUGAAUACACCACUGCUUACUGUUCAGGAGGGAGCUGUAGAAGAUCUUAUUCUUACAGAACCAGAGCCUGAACACACUGGGAAAUGCCGUGUCAGUGGGGUUGUUUUGGUGGAUGGAAGCACAGUAUAUGCAGAGAGUGUGAUUCUGACUACUGGG